ACCCGGCCGGCUCAGUCAGUAGUGCGUAUGACUCUUGAUCUUGGGGUUGUGGGUUCAAGCUCCACGCUGGGUA
rnacentral:tRNA from 1 species